GAGAAAGGGCUUUAUUUUAGCUUACAGGCAACAGUGCCUCAUUAACGGAAGCCAGGGUAGGAUUUGAAUAAGAAACCGGAUGCUUGCUGGCUCACUCACAGGGUCAUACUUAGCUGCCCUUCUGAUAGAGACCAGCACCUAGGGAAUGGUGCCACCCACAGGGGACUGGGCCUUCCAAUAUCAACUGGCAAUGCACUUCCUUACAGAUAUGUCUAUGGAACAAUCUAACCUGGGCAGUUGAUCAAUUGAGACUCUCUUCUCCUUGUGGAUCCAGCUUCAAUGGAACUGACCCCUUCUAGACAUGGCUCUUCUCUGGUCUUCUUAGCCCCUGAUGGUUGCUAGGCAACCCUAUUAAGUUCCCCAGCUGAGAUCACUCAGUAACCAAGUCACUGUAUGGAACUACCUUGGUCUGGCAUCCUCAUCCCUACUUCCUCACUUGCCCCGACUCCUACGGAUCUUGUGCAGCGACUCUCCCAUUUCUGUCCCCGAUGCUGCUUAUUCGAACGUGUCCCUGGGUGUCUCAUGAUCCAACUUGUCAGACAUAUGUCAACUUUAUAGUAUUUUGCAUAAAUCCUUAUUUAAUCACCACGUCAGCUGCACCGAGGAGCCUUCUUCUAUUGAAAAUGCCAGCCAAGAGAAGCCGCCCCUUCCUCGAAAGCCGUGCGUCGGCUAAGUUGCAACAUCAAAACUUGAACUCGGGUCUUUUGGAAUUCAGGACCCGUGCUCUGUUCUCGCUUCAUCAAACAGUCAGAACACUCUGAGAGAGAUUAAGAGGAUCGUCACGGACUGCCUUGACAUUUUCUACAGAGAACAUGGAUUUCUUUUGUAAUUGGGAAAGAAGUUAAUUAAGCCUAAACAAAUAAUUAUAAUAAAAAUAGCCCUUCAGAGGAAGAAAUGUCAGAGCAACUCGAGUUUAGAAUGUUUAUGGCGGGGAAGGUAGCCUGCCUCAGGUGUUGCCCUUCCCCUUCCCAUCAGGAUACUCUGUCUUGGAUACUGAAGUUUCCCUAAGAGAGCUGAAGACGGAGAGAAGCAUUGUCCUAAACCUGCAGUCGCCUUGGAUUUUUGGAAGUACAAAACCUGAAAGGUCAGGCUACCCCCAGAUGACAGUGAUCACCCAUGAGGGCCAAGCUGCAUUCUGAAGCGGAAGUGACCCUCUCACAGGAGCCAGAUUGACUCACAGUAGCAUCUUGAGGCCAUCACACUGGUGAGGUGAUGAUCAAGGAGAUGGCAUCUGGACCAGGACUUCUUCAUGAUGCCAACAUUUUGUUCUUUGCCCCAACUCAAAUCUAAAGCUAUUAUCGGCAUCUUAAUCUUCUAAAAUCUUGGGGGUCACUGUUCCUCUCCUCUAUUUGGACACUUGAGAAUAAAUCUCUCUCUCUGGUUUUUA